GGAACAUAGUUCAGUGGCAGAACAUUUGCUUUUCAUGCAAAAAGUUCUAGAUUCAAUUCGAGUAUUUCCA